rnacentral:ncRNA from 1 species
GAAAAGUCUGUGAAGGAUCGAGUAAGUAAUUUUUUCACUUUUUAGAGAGAAUGACCGAGGCUGAGAGUCAUUUAAGGAAAAAAUACGGGAAAGACAAUCUGGAGAUGAGAGGAAGAAAAGCCUCUACGUGCACGAGCGUUAAUCGUUUGAGGAAAGUUUGGUUUAGUGUUUAAGACAAACUUUCAAAUUUAGGUGGUACCACGUGAAAUGUUAACGUCCUUGUG